AGAGUUGAUCCUGGCUCAGGACGAACGCUGGCGGCACGCUUAACACAUGCAAGUCGAACGAGAGAAGAGGAGCUUGCUUUUCUGAUCUAGUGGCGGACGGGUGAGUAACACGUGAGCAAUCUGCCUUUCAGAGGGGGAUACCGAUUGGAAACGAUCGUUAAUACCGCAUAACAUAAUUGAACCGCAUGAUUUGAUUAUCAAAGAUUUAUCGCUGAAAGAUGAGCUCGCGUCUGAUUAGCUAGUUGGUAAGGUAACGGCUUACCAAGGCGACGAUCAGUAGCCGGACUGAGAGGUUGAUCGGCCACAUUGGGACUGAGACACGGCCCAGACUCCUACGGGAGGCAGCAGUGGGGAAUAUUGCACAAUGGAGGAAACUCUGAUGCAGCGAUGCCGCGUGAGGGAAGAAGGUUUUAGGAUUGUAAACCUCUGUCUUCAGGGACGAAAAAAGACGGUACCUGAGGAGGAAGCUCCGGCUAACUACGUGCCAGCAGCCGCGGUAAUACGUAGGGAGCGAGCGUUGUCCGGAAUUACUGGGUGUAAAGGGAGCGUAGGCGGGAUCGCAAGUCAGAUGUGAAAACUAUGGGCUUAACCCAUAAACUGCAUUUGAAACUGUGGUUCUUGAGUGAAGUAGAGGUAAGCGGAAUUCCUAGUGUAGCGGUGAAAUGCGUAGAUAUUAGGAGGAACAUCAGUGGCGAAGGCGGCUUACUGGGCUUUAACUGACGCUGAGGCUCGAAAGCGUGGGGAGCAAACAGGAUUAGAUACCCUGGUAGUCCACGCCGUAAACGAUGAUUACUAGGUGUGGGGGGACUGACCCCUUCCGUGCCGCAGCAAACGCAAUAAGUAAUCCACCUGGGGAGUACGACCGCAAGGUUGAAACUCAAAGGAAUUGACGGGGGCCCGCACAAGCAGUGGAGUAUGUGGGUUAAUUCGAAGCAACGCGAAGAACCUUACCAGGUCUUGACAUCGUAUGCAUAGCUCAGAGAUGAGUGAAAUCUCUUCGGAGACAUAUAGACAGGUGGUGCAUGGUUGUCGUCAGCUCGUGUCGUGAGAUGUUGGGUUAAGUCCCGCAACGAGCGCAACCCUUACUGUUAGUUGCUACGCAAGAGCACUCUAGCAGGACCGCCGUUGACAAAACGGAGGAAGGUGGGGAUGACGUCAAAUCAUCAUGCCCCUUAUGACCUGGGCCUCACACGUACUACAAUGGCUGUCAACAGAGGGAAGCAAAGCCGCGAGGUGGAGCGAACCCCUAAAAGCAGUCUUAGUUCGGAUUGUAGGCUGCAACCCGCCUACAUGAAGUCGGAAUUGCUAGUAAUCGCAGAUCAGCAUGCUGCGGUGAAUACGUUCCCGGGCCUUGUACACACCGCCCGUCACGCCAUGGGAGUCGGUAACACCCGAAGCCUGUAGUCUAACCGCAAGGAGGACGCAGUCGAAGGUGGGAUUGAUGACUGGGGUGAAGUCGGAACAAGGUA
rnacentral:rRNA from 1 species